CUACAACUCUUAUUUCAGAGCGUGUCGGGGAGUCAUCAUCAUCCGAUGCGGCCAGUCGCGUCGAGGCUCAGGUCUAUACCGAAUUAAUGGGCCCAGAAUGUUAUGGUCGAGUGAGGGGUUAUGGUGUUGGAGUUACCCCCACUCAGUUGUCUGCAGUGAGCCGAUAUACCCAAGAUGCUAGAUAAGGUAGUAGCACUGCAGAGGUUUGUAGUCUGAAGGCAGAGAUGGCACAGAUAAAGCAGUCAUAUGAGACAAGGAUAGAGGAGAUGAGUCAGAGUCAUAGGACCGAUAUGGAGGAGUUGAAGCAGAGCCAAGAGUUGAAGAUACAAUCUUUGCAAGAUCAGCUUGACCAUAUUUCAUCCUUUUUGCAGAGAUUUGCUCCUCCGGUCACUUGACAGCUAGGAGUGAUGUCUACAGCUUCGGGGUUGUCCUUCUUGAGCUCUUAACAGGACGCCGGUCUGUGGACAAGAUAUUCUAUAUUUUCUGAUUGUAUCAAUCUUUUUUCUGAAUGGAACAGGCAUGGAGGCAGGGCUUAUGCUUUGUGAUUGCCAGCUUGUCCCAGGAUCACUACAGAUUGGCAUUUAUGGACGACUUUUCGCAAGAAUUCUUUCAAUAUCUUUUAGAAUGUUUAAUGACAAUACUCGCCCGAGCAAGGAGCAGAGCAGAGCUUAAGAAGACUCCGGUCUGUGGACAAGACUCGCUCGAGCAAGGAGCAGAGCUUGGUUGACUGGGCUCGCCCCAAGCUUAAUGACAAUAUUGUAGAGAUGAUGAUGCCGACCCUUAAUAUAUAUUGUAGAUUGUGUACGUAGGAAUUUGACUUGUAUGUUUUUAGAAUGUUUUUGAAGUACAAUGUAAUCAAAUAUGAUAAUAUGAAUGUAAUCAAAGUUCUUGUUUGUGACUC